rnacentral:tRNA from 2 species
GCGCCUAUAGCUCAGUGGAUAGAGCGCCGGUCUCCGGAACCGGGUGCGCAGGUUCGAUUCCUGCUAGGCGCACCA